rnacentral:lncRNA from 1 species
CCCUCCUUUAGAUAUUGAAAGGCUGCUACUUCUCGGGAGGUGCACUGUGUUGUCUGCCUUAACAAGAAUUGCAUUCAGAAGAUCCUUUCAGUUAACUAACACUGUUAGCAGAUUUGGACUACUCCUGGAUAUGGGGCAGUUCUCAGUCCAUGAACAAGAAGAGUCCUCAGCAGGGCUGGAAGCAGAGGGCUACAGGGAGAUCUGUGGGCAGAUUAAUCACCCAAGCUCUCAGGUCAACGUGAUGGAGCUGAUCUUGUUAGCGUCUUCCUCAGCAUCAGAAGAAAAAUCUGAAAAUCAUCAGAUGAGGAGGAGACUGAAACAAAGUCUCCAUGAAGAUGGAUGGCUUUUCCUGGUAGGUUUAAACAGAACAGGAAUAAAGGGAGGCAGCUGUACUACCACCUGCAGAUAUCACAUUAAAAGAAAACAGUGAAUCCAUGUUGGCAUUUCCUACCAAUUUCCUGUAAUUGAAUUAGAUAUUCAUUGGAUUUUGUUAGUAAGCAAUGUAGGUAAUUUUAAAAGACUGUGGGAAAACUAUAUAUGUUAUUAAAUCAAGUCUACAUCAUGUAGGAAUCUUUUGUAGUUUUGGGACACUUGAUAUUUGACCCAGAUCCAUUAAAUUGAAUUAUUACAUUAGAAAAUCUUCAGAGUAUAAUCUCUGAGACAGAGUUCUCUCCAGUCACUCUCUAUAAUUACAGCAUGGCAUCAGGAGUGAAGGUUGAAAAAGAAGAGUGACUUAAGAAACAGUGGAAUAGAAGAGGAAUAAUUGGACAAUGUGGAACAUGAAUUUAAAAUCUAAAGAGGCUGAAACUCUGCAAGAGUACUGCAAAUGACUGAAAAGGUUCAAGGAAGAUAAUUGUAUCUUUGUGAAGCCAAGGGGAAGUCCUGAACAGAGAAAUGGAAAAGGCAGGUUUUCUCAUUUUAAUAUUGCAGGGUAUGGGAUUAAUUUAAUGAUAAAGAGAUAAAUUAUAAAGAGCAAGCUAUGCAACGCACUAUGUUACUGAAAUGUAUCAAACUUCACAAUCCAAGAAGUGGGUUAACUUAGUACGUAUUUAAGAAUGUUGAGACAAAUGCACUGUUUUGGGAGCUUUGACAAAUCUUUUACUUAAGAUAAGACUGUAUUGGAUAUCAGAAAUCUGUCAAAAACUGUAAGAAACACAUGACUAAGAAAAAAAGAGCAUUAGAUCUACAUCAAGGACUGAAACUACAUAAGAUGUAGAAGAGUUAAAAAGAAGAGUCAUUUCUGAGAACAGUGCAUAUUUCAACAACGUCCUUUGAUUAAUCUGAACAUUAGAAAAGUCCUUGUUUCAUAUACACAAUGCUCAUGGACAAGCUAACAUGGUAUCUAAAAGUACAAUAAACAACUUUAAAGGUAGAGCA